UCCUUGGGAUAUUUCUAUGGGCAGCACAAAACAACGUUCUCACUUCCACGGGGACUGUGGAAUGUUACCAGGGUGUCACUAUAGCUGAUCGUGACGUUACUUUCUAGUCAACCAGAGAAGCUCCUUGCCCAGGGUGAAGAUGAGAAUAACAUGAUAGAGAAAUGAAGCCGGCAAAUCGCAAAACAAAGACCAAGUGGUCUCAUUCCAUCAGUUAUGACUACAUGUAGCAAUGCAUGAAAAAUUUUAGUUUCAUGAGGCAAACAUUGCCUACUGUCUCUCUCUUUUUUUUCAGUUUUACUAAGAAUAAGUGUUUUAUUGACAUAUAAUGAACAUAUAGUGUUACAAUAGUUUCAGAUGUACAAUACAAUGAUUCAACAAUUCUAUACAUGACUCAGCUCUCAUCCUACUGGUUUGGUAGACCAGAGUCUAGAGAUGGCCUUUCAUUAAGGAGACUGUUUGGGAUGCAUCUGAGGAAAAGGAACAAUGAGGCUCAGGUCAGCUUCAUAACUGGCAUCAUACCAUCAUUUAAGUCAUAAGCUAAAAUGUCCUUGAUAUUGUACACAUGGCUCCACUCACUAGCCCACAAUAAGAAAACAAGAUUAAGAUUUGGAUAUAAUGCCCUUAGCUAGUGAUUAAAAAGCAUUAUUUUCCCUUGAGUCUCCCCCAUACACAUACCUUUAGGAACCUAUUUAGAAAGGGAAAGCUUACGGUACUUGAUUGAUUGGGAUGUGAUUUUCAUUUCUCACCUGUCUCAUUAAGUUAAAAGAGGGAGAGAGAGAGAAUGAGCAAAGGGAGAGGCAGACAGAGACAGAGAAGCAGACUCCCCACAGAGCAAGGAGCUUAAUCCCAGGACCCCGAGAUCAUGACCUGAGCCUUAUAAAUAAUAAUUUUGUUUCUAUUGUCUGUUAAUGUCAUUCCCAAUGCAUCAAACAACAUGAUGCAGAAGAUAGCCCAUGAUAUUAUGCUUGAUCAGAAAAUUGUUAUUUCAGUUUUACAAACAGACAGAAAGAGUGCCACACUCAUACUCUAAAAUCAGCUGGAAAUCAUGAAUGGC
rnacentral:lncRNA from 12 species